rnacentral:rRNA from 1 species
UACGUAGGGGGCAAGCGUUGGUCCGGAUUUAUUGGGCGUAAAGAGCGUGUAGGCGGCCAGACAGGUCCGUUGUGAAAACUCGAGGCUCAACCUCGAGACGCCGAUGGAAACCGUCUGGCUAGAGUCCGGGAAGAGGAGAGUGGAAUUCCUGGUGUAGCGGUGAAAUGCGCAGAUAUUAGGAAGAACACCGUGGCGAAGGC